rnacentral:rRNA from 1 species
UUAGAGGAAGUAAAAGUCGUAACAAGGUUUCCGUAGGUGAACCUGCGGAAGGAUCAUUACUGAGAAUGCUCUUCGGAGCCCCUCAAACCACUGCGUACCGAAUCCCGUGCUUGCGGGUGGCAGCGUCUUCGGACGAGGCGCCCGCGAGAUCAAACACGUUUGACUGUCGUCUGGUUACAUUUUAAAAAGAAAAACAACUUUCAACAAUGGAUCUCUUGGCUCCGGCAUCGAUGAAGAACGCAGCGAAAUGCGAUAGCUAGUGUGAAUUGCAGAUUUUAGUGAAUCAUCGAGUCUUUGAACGCACAUUGCGCCCUUUGGUAUUCCUCAGGGCAUGCCUAUUCGAGCGUCGUUUCGACCCAGCGAAAGCUGUUUUGAGGGAUGCGACUUCGGUUGCCCCCUUUGAGAGCAUCGGCGCCAGCAGCGAGCCGGAACGCAGCAGAUUGCGGUUCCUCAACGCGGCAGUCCGCCGUAAAACCCGCCUCUGGCGAUUUUACCAGCUCGACCU